GACAUUGCCUUUGUAGGGGACAUUGGGAUCCUUGUGCUUUCUCUGCGAUGGCUUCCUGUCACUCUCAGUCUGAGAAGCACUCUGUGUGAUCACCUUCAGCCUCUACUGCAUAAGCAGGUCUUGAAGCUGUGCUGGGAAUGGCAGAUUCUCCCACCGGAAUCCACUUUGUCUUGGAUGCCCUAUAAGGCUCAAGCUGUCUGGGUGAAGCUAAAGCCCACACCCAGCUGGGUGCAGCCAUUGGAAUGCCCACUUGUGGUCUGCCUUCUUGAGUAAACAAGAUGAACUUCCAGACAACACGGUUUCACCAUCACAUCUAAAAGUAAGCGACUACAGUUUUUGUUCUCCACCAGGGAGGCGAUAAUCCAGCAGCCAUCUGGUGGCAUUUUGUGGGCCUCGUAAGGAAACACAGACAUUUGGAUUUCUUGGGGGCAGAGCAUGAAGUUACUGAGCGAGGAUACUCCGCUGGUC